AGUCCGUGACUGGGGUGGCGGGGGUGGGGUCAGGUUUUCAGAUCAAAGCUCCGCACCAUUUCCGGUUUGCUCUGUGUCAUGCUUACGGUUCAAGAUGAGCUCUCCGCUUCCCUCCCACCGUUGGUAGCCAUGCCGCCCGCCCGCCAUCAUGGACUCACUCUUGUCCCCCUGGAACCCUUUAUUGUUUUGAGAGAUUUUGGCUAUGUGUGUGAGGCAAUAACGGGACCAUGUCUGCACGAUGACACAGGUUUGGGUUUUACUGCCUUCCUUCUCCAUUUCACUAGUCAUUCAACGGGGAAAGCCAUGCUCACAACCAUGUACGAAUCCCUUCAUACUGAUCUCCAUGCUUGGGAUGGCUAAUCUUGAUUGUCAACUUGACUGCAUCUGGAAUCAACUAAAACCCAAGUAGCUGGGCACACCAGUGAGGAUUUCCUUGAUGGAAUUUGAGGUCAGAGGACCCACUUUAAAUCUGAGCCACACCUUUUAGUGGCAGCCAAUAUAAAGGGACAGAGAAGAAGGAGGCUCCUGCUUUUUGCCUGUUUGUUCUCACUCUUGCUGGCAAGUCCAUCUAUCCUGUUGCUGAGGCAUUCCUUCACUGUUAUUAGAGCCUACUUCUUCGGGAUUCCAAGGUAGACUGAAGAACAGCAGGUCUCUAGAAUUUUCCUGGGAUUCCAGCACCAGAUUGGGAAUGCAAAGACAUUCAGUCUCAUGUGUUGAACAACUACCAGAUCCUUGGCCUUUUUUGUUGGGAGACAUUCAGUUUUGGACUACUCAGACCACAGCCUGUAAGCCAUUCUAGUAAAUUACAUUUUAAUACACAUAUAUGUAUAUACAUAUAUAUUCAUUAUACAUACACAAUCCCCCCUCCUUCUUGCUCUCCCUCCCUCUAAAUUAUGUUUCUGUAGAGAACCCUAACACAGUGCUCACGUAAUCACCUGGAGACACAUGUGCACAAACAGGAAAUUUCUGUUCAAUAGCAGGACCACGUUCUGCCUCUUGCUCUUUUUGCUAAACAAAAACCUCAGAGAAAUCCCUCCUAGACGAACAGCGGCCGCUCUAAUUAACUCUUUUAAUUAUGUAUUCCUCAGUGAAGAUGAAGAUAUCCUAUGCUCCGACUGUUUGGUGUGAAGAAAUAAUGCUUCUUAUGAACAAAGGUUCCGUAAUUUAUGAGUCUUUUUUUCUGUACCUGCAAAGGUACUAGGACUGUUACCAGGCAUAUGACGGGGCAGCUAGCAAAUGGUCUUUGACCUUAACUAAUAGAUUGAUUUGGGGACAACCCCAGACUGCCAUCUCUUUAGGUAAGGGUCAGGUACUGUUGAAACAAUGACCCAAGCUUUCAGGGAAGUCACAGACGGCUGGCCAUGGGAUGAGAAAUAUUUUGAAAUAACAUGAUCAAGAGGAGUCAGGUAGGGGAAUAUGUCUAGGUAGUAAAGCAGAGAGGGAGCGAAAUGGAGGGAGAGAGGGAGAGAGGGAGAGGAGAGAAGACAGAGAGGGAAGGAGGGAUUUGUUCUUACCAAUACCCCUAAAAGAAUCAUUCCAGAACCAGGGGGGAUAGCUCCGUGGUAGAGCGCUUGCCUAUGGCAUGCCUAAGGUCUGGGUUCACUCACUGAUACUGUCUGGUGGGAAGGAGGAAGAGUCCAGAGAUAGUUUUAAAGACUAGCUUAAGGGAGAUUACCAAGUUAUUGGGCAGAUAAGAUGGCUCAGCAGCUCAGCAUUUGAGGUCAAGUCUGAUGACCUGAGUUGGAUCCCCAGGACCCCCAUAGUGCAAGGGAAUCAACCCCACUAGCGUUCUGACUACAUCCAUGCACAAGCA